AUGCCAGCAGCAGUACAAAGCACAGUCCAGCUCUCUAGCGCCCCCGUCCCUCCCACUCAGCCCAUAAAAUCCAUCUGGUCCAACUCCCGUCCCCCUUCACGCAACACUGGCCGGGCCGUUGACCACAGUGUCCUAGCCUCCCUGCCCCGGUCGGCUAGUAGCACUGCCAAUUGUGAAAGCACCACUGUCAACUUCGGUUUACUCAAUAUCCGUUCACUCACGAGCAAGGGCCAUCUUAUCCAGGAUCUCAUCACUGACCAUAAGUUUGACUUUUUCUGUUUAACUGAAACCUGGCAACAAUCCAACGACCUCUCCCAACUCAACGAAUCUACUCCUCCGGCAUUUACUUACACCUGUCAACCCCGUGGCACCGGCCGGGGAGGGGGUCUCGCAAUAAUCCAACACGAGAAGUGGAAAGUCUCGCCGGUGCCUACCCCUGCUUUCACCUCCUUCGAAUCCACUGUUUGUCAGCUCUCUGGACCGACUCCCACCAUUAUUGCUACUGUUUACCAGCCCCCAAAACCAAAUAUUGACUUUCUACAUGACUUUGCUGCUCUGCUCACCCACCUAUCCACCCUUUCACCAAACAACAUAGUACUGGGAGAUUUUAACAUUCACAUGGACAAUACCAACAACCCACUUACCAAAGACUUUACAUUCUGCCUCGACAGUUUUGGAUUUCAACAGCACACCGAUACCCCCACUCACUCCAAGGGUCACAUUCUGGACUUAAUCUGCUGCUCUGGUGUUUCCCCUUCCGAUCUAACUGCAGUUGAACUCCCCAUAACCGACCACUUCCUCCUCUCAUUUAAUGUAAAACUCUCUCUCUCCACUACCAAGCUCCCCCGUCUCAUUUCUUUUCGCAAUAUUAAGGAUAUUAACUUAGAUUCCCUCUCCUCCAGCAUUGACUCCCUCAUGGCCACUCAGAACUCACUCACCCUCGAACAGCUGGUUUCACACUACAACACUGGACUCCAACAGAUACUCAACUCCCUUGCUCCGCUAAAAACCAGAUCUGUCUCCUUCUCCCUUUCCGCUCCCUGGUUUACCCCCGAACUUCGACUUAUGAAAGCUAAAGGACGACAACUCGAGCGGCUAUACAGGAAAACUGGACUUCAUAUUCACAAAGACAUUUACAAAAAUCAUAUGUUACAUUACAAGAACUGCAUUACCCAAACCAAAUCCAAUUAUUACACUGCUAUAAUCUGUUCCAACAAAGGUAACACUAAAUCACUAUUCUCACUGUACAAGAAUAUCACCCAAGCCCCAGAAUAUCUACCAUCUCACCUCUGUUCAACUGCUUUCUGUAACUCCAUCAUGUCUUUCCUCAGUCAGAAAAUCCAGAUGAUCCACCAACAUCUCAGCUCACAAACCACCCUCAAUGUCAUAUCCGAACUUCCUCCUCCUACCCACUUUUUCUCCUGCUUCCAGCUCCCCACCUCCGCAUAA
rnacentral:lncRNA from 1 species